UCAGGAUAGCGGCCAUCGCGGAAACGUUUUGACCGGUAGAGCGAACGACUAGAGGUACCGGGGCCGUAACGGCCUCGACCUAUUCUCGAACUCCGAACGGGCAAGGAGCCGGGGUCGCCCGAUCGGACCCCGGACGUGAAGUCGACGAUGGUCGGUGGGCUGGUUUUGGUAAGCAGAACGGGCGAUUCGGGAUGAACCGGAAGCGGGGAGAAAGGGCCCGAGAUUGCGUCGACGCGGAUCCCGAAAAGGGCGUCGAUCCGUCGCGACAGCGGGACGGUGGUCAUGGAAGUCGAAAUCCGCUAAGAAGCGUGUAAAACGUACCCGCCCAACGGAUCGGCCCCGAAAAUUGAUGGCGCUCGAACGCAACCCUCGAACCCCGCCGACGGAGGCUAGGGGAGGCCCCGUCGAGUAGGCGGACGCGCGGGUCGCUUCGACGCUCCCGCGCG
rnacentral:rRNA from 1 species